rnacentral:rRNA from 1 species
GCUAAACGCGAAGAACCUUACCUACCCUUGACAUGCCAGGAACCUCGCAGAGAUGUGAGGGUGCCCGAAAGGGAACCUGGACACAGGUGCUGCAUGGCUGUCGUCAGCUCGUGUCGUGAGAUGUUGGGUUAAGUCCCGCAACGAGCGCAACCCUUGCCAUUAGUUGCUACAUUCAGUUGGGCACUCUAAUGGGACUGCCGGUGACAAACCGGAGGAAGGUGGGGAUGACGUCAAGUCCUCAUGGCCCUUAUGGGUAGGGCUUCACACGUAAUACAAUGGCGCAUACAGAGGGCUGCAAACCCGCGAGGGGAGCAAUCCCAAAAACUACAUCUCAGUUCGGUAUUGCAGGCUGCAACUCGCCUGCAUGAAGCUGGAGUUGCUAGUAAUCGCGAAUACAGAAUGUCGCGGUGAAUACGUU